CCCUCCUGCGUUCUGUGCCCUCCAUCUCUCCGUUUUCUCUCAUUUUCUCACAUUAAGGACAAUCCACUUCCAGACAUUGCUGUCCCUCCUCCUGCAUCUGUUAUCUUGUAAUCUAUACAGAGCUUUUGGAGAGUGAAGCAGCACAGAGCUGACCUUAUAAAGACUCGCUUCUGACCAGACCACACCUCUAUCACCAGAGUCCAUGGAAGCCAAGGCCAAGUCCGGGGCUCCGGCGCCCAAGGCGUCUUCAAAAGCAGAGAAGAAGGAGCCGGCCGCCCCACGCAAAGCUGACCCGGCCCCUGCGGCCCCUGAGCCUGAGCAUCCCCCUCCCUCCCAGGACGGGGCAGGGGAGGGCAAAACGGCGGCAGCAGGUGAUGAGGCUGCGGCCUCUGGCACAGACUCUCUGGAGCACCUGAAGCCUUUUCUCAUCGGCGGCGUCGUAAUUGCUGCAGGAGCCAUCUUGCUGGGAGUGCUGCUAUUGGCAAGAAGAAAUUAAAAGCAAAUCACUAUCCCAAGAGAGAGUAUUUACUGGUUGAGAAGUUAGAGUGCCAUUACUGACUGGUUCACAGACUAUCAUGGUACAGAUUAAGGAAGGGGAGCCACUGUGUUUCUUUUCUUUCUUUCUUUUUUUUCCGGCCUGCUUUCACUUGUAGUGAAUCAAACCAUAUACGAUUUGAUCAAGGCUGUACAUGGAGCAUAAUCAUAGAUAGUUAUGUGCAUGAUGUUUCUGCAAAACUGCAUCUUAUAUGUAAUAUCUAUUUCCUAAGAAAAAGGCACUCUGUACUACUGAACUUAGAUGCCUAAAUCCUCUAACAGUAGCCUAUUCAACUUAUUUAAUGUAGUCGCAACAAAUGUUCACACGAGGCUGCAUCAGUUGCGCCGGAAAUACGCUUGGUUCACUUUGCUGAAAGAUUAUGAAACAUUGUAUUUGUAACGCGAAAUCCAAAAUGACUGUCAGAACUGUUUUGUUAGACUUUUAAAUAACACAACUGGAUGAUUAGACCCAACAAUUAUCCACAUUUAAGCACUGUGAUAUAUUGCACACAUUUUGGCAAUUUAAAUGCCACAGUAAAAUGAUCAGUUUUCUUUUUUUAGUGAGAGUACAAGGUCAAAGAAAAUUAAUAUCAAAUCAUUGUGUUUAAAUACAAAGUGGCACAAUGUGAUUUCAAAAUGAUUCCCUUUCACAGAGACUGAUCAUAUAGGCAUGCAGAGGUUGAGGAAUGGCAUGUAGAGGACUGUAGGAUAUAAAACAUACUGCACACCCGAGAAGAGUGAAAUUAUCUCUAUCUGUCGAAUGAGACAGAGAUUUAUUUAAAUGCCAAAAUGUCAAACCUGCUACGUCUGUCAUGAGAGCCACAUAACAGUUCAGUCUGUUUUCAUCUUACAGUCGAAGCUUUUCUGUAACUGAAAGGUUGUUAGUGUUGCAGUUUUGGGUUUGAAGACUGCUGCUUGUACAUGGGAGCUGUUUCUUUUUUCACUUACUGCCCCCUGUGUUCUUAAAGUCCAGUUUUAAAAACUCAAUAAUAAUUAGGAAUAACUAUGUUGUAACAAAAUCAUCUGAGGAUGCAAAGAAGGGAGAUGUAAAUGAAUUGCUGUCCAAUAGUUAACUCAGUGGAGAAUAAUGUUAGGCAGCCUUGAAGUUGUUGCUGCGCAAACUCACCUGUACACUGUAUUUUCAGCUCACAUUGUGAAACUCACGGGGUCAUCCCUGUGGCAUAACUAGAUAGCAGAAAUAUACUUCUGACACACACCAUUACUUGACCGAAUCUGUAACCGUACUGAUACAGUUUGCACAUUUCUGGCUCAUCACAUUCAAAAAUAUUAUAUGAACACACCCCAUUCACAACUGUCAACACCUAAGGUACAUUAAAAAAAAAACAGUAUGCAGAUACCUGAACCAAAUGUCACCUUACAUUGUACCAUACAGUGUACCAAAAAAGAAAGUUCCUAUUUUCAUAAUUUCAACAGCGUAUAAAUGCAAUAAUUCAGAUAGGACUCCUCAUUUAGCACAUGUGCUGUAGCAAGUUAAAUUACAUAAAUUGUAUAAUAAUGUAUGAUGUUAUUGAUGGCAAUGAUGGAGACCUUGCAGAUGGCAAUGACAAUGUUUUUCAUGGUUACUGCAAUGAUGUUAAGGAGGGUUAUGAUAUAUAUUUUUUAUAUUUUGAACAUGUUUUUCUUAUGCACCCUUCCCUCUGCUCCCAAACUUCUCAAUGUAUAAAGGGUUUGAAAUCCAACUUGAUUAAAGGCAGUGAACCAGC